AUGGUGGUAACGGGUAACGGGGAAUUAGGGUUCGAUUCCGGAGAGGGAGCCUGAGAAACGGCUACCACAUCCAAGGAAGGCAGCAGGCGCGCAAAUUACCCAAUCCCGACACGGGGAGGUAGUGACAAUAAAUAACAAUACGGGGCUCUUUCGGGUCUCGUAAUUGGAAUGAGUACAAUUUAAAUCCCUUAACGAGGAACAAUUGGAGGGCAAGUCUGGUGCCAGCAGCCGCGGUAAUUCCAGCUCCAAUAGCGUAUAUUAAAGUUGUUGCAGUUAAAAAGCUCGUAGUUGAAUUUCGGGAUUGGCGCAUCGGUCGUGCCUCACGGGGUAUGAACUGGUGCAGUCAAUUUCUCACCUUCUGGAGAACCGCGAUGUCCUUAAUUGGAUGCCGCGGGGAACCAGGACCUUUACUUUGAAAAAAUUAGAGUGUUUAAAGCAGGCAUUUUUGCUUGAAUACAUUAGCAUGGAAUAAUAAAAUAGGACGGCAUGGUUCUAUUUUGUUGGUUUCUAGGACCACCGUAAUGAUUAAUAGGGAUAGUUGGGGGCAUUAGUAUUCAAUUGUCAGAGGUGAAAUUCUUGGAUUUAUUGAAGACUAACUACUGCGAAAGCAUUUGCCAAGGAUGUUUUCAUUAAUCAAGAACGAAAGUUAGGGGAUCGAAGACGAUCAGAUACCGUCGUAGUCCUAACCAUAAACUAUGCCGA
rnacentral:rRNA from 1 species